rnacentral:misc_RNA from 1 species
GAUGAAGAACGCAGCGAAAUGCGAUAAGUAGUGUGAAUUGCAGAAUUCAGUGAAUCAUCGAAUCUUUGAACGCACAUUGCGCCCCUUGGUAUUCCAUGGGGCAUGCCUGUUCGAGCGUCAUUUGUACCCUCAAGCUCUGCUUGGUGUUGGGUGUUUGUCCACUCCCUGGUGUCUGGACUCGCCUUAAAGCAAUUGGCAGCCAGUGUUUUGGUAUUGAAGCGCAGCACAUUUUGCGUCUCCAGCCUAGAACGCUUGCGUCCAGUAAGCCUUUUUCCACUUUUGACCUCGGAUCAGGUAGGGAUACCCGCUGAACUUAAGCAUAUCAAUAAGCGGAGGA